GGGGCGUUAGCUCAGCUGGUUAGAGCAGAGGACUCAUAAUCCUUUGGUCGCGGGUUCAAGUCCCGCACGCCCUACCA
rnacentral:tRNA from 1 species